AAACCAACAGGGAUUGCCCCAGUAGCGGCGAGUGAAGCGGCAAGAGCUCAGAUUUGAAAUCGUGCCAAUUUUUUUGGCACGAGUUGUAGAGUGUAGGCGGGAGUCUUUGUGGAGCACGGUGUCCAAGUCCCUUGGAACAGGGCGCCUGAGAGGGUGAGAGCCCCGUGGGGUGUCGUGCGAAGCUUUGAGGCCCUGCUGACGAGUCGAGUUGUUUGGGAAUGCAGCUCCAAGUGGGUGGUAAAUUCCAUCUAAGGCUAAAUACUGGCGAGAGACCGAUAGCGAACAAGUACUGUGAAGGAAAGAUGAAAAGCACUUUGAAAAGAGAGUGAAACAGCACGUGAAAUUGUUGAAAGGGAAGGGUAUUGGGCCCGACAUGGGGAGUGCGCACCGCUGUCUCUUGUAGGCGGCGCUCUGGGCGCUCUCUGGGCCAGCAUCGGUUCUUGCUGCGGGAGAAUGGGUGCCGGAAAGUGGCUCUUCGGAGUGUUAUAGCCGGCGCCAGAUACCGCGUGCGGGGACCGAGGACUGCGGCUUC
rnacentral:rRNA from 1 species